ACUCAAAGGAAUAGACGGGGGCCCGCACAAGCGGUGGAGCAUGUGGUUCAAUUCGACGCAACGCGAAGAACCUUACCUGGGCUCGAAGCGCAGUGGAAUCCGGGCGAAAGCUCGGCGCCCGCAAGGGCCGCUGCGGAGGUGCUGCAUGGCUGUCGUCAGCUCGUGUCGUGAGAUGUUGGGUUAAGUCCCGCAACGAGCGCAACCCUUAUCCUUAGUUGCCAUGCCGAAAGGCGGCACUCUAAAGAGACUGUCGGCCACAAGCCGGAGGAAGGUGGGGAUGACGUCAAGUCCUCAUGGCCUUUAUGUCCAGGGCUACACACGUGCUACAAUGGGCGGUACAAAGCGUCGCAAACCCGCGAGGGGGAGCCAAUCGCAAAAAGCCGCUCUCAGUUCGGAUUGCAGUCUGCAACUCGACUGCAUGAAGCUGGAAUCGCUAGUAAUCGCGGAUCAGAACGCUGCGGUGAAUACGUUCCCGGGCCUUGUACACACCGCCCGU
rnacentral:rRNA from 1 species